ensembl:lncRNA
GCUCUCACCCCAGCCAAGACAGCUGCCAUGUCCUGCCUACCCUCUGCUGUGCAUUGUGGGGUAUUGCUCCAGGACCUUGCUUCAAACAUAUCUCAGGCUGAGAAACCUGUUGUUGCUUACAGCAAUGUCUCAUCAUCUCCGCAAUAACUCAGCAACUCUGUGCACGAUGAGAACAACUAAUCAAGACAGGAAAUGGAGUUUGCUGGAAAGAAGAAGGGUAAGGAGCUCAAGAUCACUUGGAUGACCCAAGGAACAUCCUAUUCAAUAUGUCCAACUCAUCAUCUCUGAUACCUACUGCAGCUCCACAUUGGUUUUCCUUUUUGAAAUUUAUUCUGCAAUAAAAUGAUACAUGGAGCUGCCAGUCAGUUGCCCACGACAGAUUCCUGGACACUGUUCCUAACUCUGGAUUUUCCCUUUUCUGCUAUUAACACUGAUAUAUUACUAUGUCUCUGGAAUCUACUCACCUCACUCUACUCUCAAUGACACUUUACUACUUGCAGCUGUUAUCGUUUCUUUCAUAUACUGCGUUAAUAUCUACUAACUACAGUAUGGUAUUCCUCUGUGAUAGACCCUGAUCUCCUAUCAUGUACCCCAUUAGAGCCAAGGAAAUGUUCAAGAUAAAAUCUGAUGAUGAAGAUCCUCUGCUUAAAAGCCUACCACAGAGCCCCUACUGUGCUUAGAAUAGCAUCCAAACCCAUUUAUGAUGUUUACAAGGUCCUUUGUAAUCUACUAUCUAUUCACUUCUCAUCUUCUCUCUUCACCAGUUUCCCCUAAGUGUGCUUACAAUUUAGUUCCUGGAACACAUUUUGCUCUCUCCUUUCCACAUGUGAACCCCUGGCUGCUCCAGCUUCACCCCCACCCAAUAGGGGUGCUGGAAUACCCCUCCUCGUCUUUCAGAUCUUAGACCCCAUGUCACUCUCACACUCUGUGUAUUCCCAAUAAAGUACUUCUUGUUUAUUAUUUCCC